UAUAAGAGAUUUUGAGUUGUUGCUUGUAACAUUUGACCAUUCGUCUUAUUCAAAAUUUUUUAAGAUUAUUAUUUAUUUUAUUUGUGACUUACUUUAUUAUUUAUAGUAUUUUAAGCACAACUUUUUAUUUUUUAUAUUUGCAAAAAAAAAUUAAAUAAGACGAGUGGUCAAACGUUGCAAACAGAAACUCAAAAUACUCAAA
rfam:Oryza sativa (indica cultivar-group) chromosome 3, whole genome shotgun sequence.